UGGGGAAUAUUGGACAAUGGGCGCAAGCCUGAUCCAGCCAUGCCGCGUGAGUGAUGAAGGCCUUAGGGUUGUAAAGCUCUUUCAGUGGGGAAGAUAAUGACGGUACCCACAGAAGAAGCCCCGGCUAACUUCGUGCCAGCAGCCGCGGUAAUACGAAGGGGGCUAGCGUUGUUCGGAUUUACUGGGCGUAAAGCGCACGUAGGCGGAUUGUUAAGUCGGGGGUGAAAUCCCAGGGCUCAACCCUGGAACUGCCUUCGAUACUGGCAAUCUCGAGUCCGGAAGAGGUGAGUGGAACUCCUAGUGUAGAGGUGGAAUUCGUAGAUAUUAGGAAGAACACCAGUGGCGAAGGCGGCUCACUGGUCCGGAACUGACGCUGAGGUGCGAAAGCGUGGGGAGCAAACA
rnacentral:rRNA from 1 species